CUCUUUUCUCUUUUAAAAAUGUAUUUAGCUUUAUGAAAAAUCUACUGCAAAGUUAUAAUGGCGGCUUCAAGGUUCUGAUAGGUUAUUGCAACUUCUCUUGUUUCUCCAGAGUGUUUUUCAGGAAAUAUUCAAGAAAAACCAGUUUGCCAUGGUACGACUUUUGCGUACCUCUCAGGAGAAUAGACUACAUUCUAUUGCUAUGAAACUACAAUAAAGAGACCCUUUACAUGUUUUUACAUUGUUUAAAGUUGUUUUUAAAUUUUUCCUGUUGCUGGUUUUUUAGUUAUAACAAUUUACAUUCAGCCA